rnacentral:lncRNA from 1 species
UUGGAGGUUAGAGAGAAAAAGAGUGUGGCGAAGGGUUUUUAUAGCAAUGGGAGGGUUGCUUUUUUGUUUUGGAGUGCGAGGGGUUUCCCGUGAAAAAUGGUUUGAAGGUUUUAAUGGCGGAAACUGGCGAUAGCUGGCUUACUUAGGCUUGGAGGAGAAGCAAUUCCUUGCUGAAUCUGUGUUACUUUUUGUUUCUUCAAUGCCUUUGCCUUUGCCUUUUCAUCAUUUCUACUUCUCUCUCUCUCCCACUCACACACUUUUGCUUUCUCUCUCUAUCCGCUUCAGCUAAAAUACAAAUCGCUACCAUCUAUGUAUGGCUGGCAAACUAGAAUACAUUAUACACGCUAAUUUUCUCACUCUUUCUUGCUUCGGAGCAGCUUCGGCUCAAACCUACAGCUUCGUAUUAAACGGUUGUCCGAGCCUACCUGGGCUCCAAUCCAAUCCAUGUGUACGUUUUAGGUGGGAAACACUGCUGACAACGUUGUUGGUUAGCUAGUUAAACGCCUGAUGCGUUAAUUCUUUUUUUUUCUAUGCAUGUGCAUGUGACACGUCAGAUAUUAUUAUUAUUUAUUUAUUUGUAAAUGUAAACGUUACUCGUUUGUUUUUUUUGAAGGGAGGAUUGUUGGGUCACGGUCUAAGACUGACAGCUAAGAAGUUCAUGUUAAAGUAAGAAGUAGACUGAUCUGGGUUGAAUUGAGAUUCAGUUUCAGUUGAUGAUGAAGACCAUGGUUUAUGGCAGUCGAGCUCAUACUCACAUGCUUCUUGUGACAUGCAAGGGUUAUCUGUCAACUUUGUCUGCAUUGCAAAAAUCUUAUUACACAAAUAAAUGUCUCCACCUUGUUUUGGUUCCACUCAUUUACUUCAAAGGAUGUGGUCAUCAUUGAUCAAGCCAUGAAGGGUGACCAUUACAUACGUUACAAUCUCAUUGUUUAAAUAUAAUAUUAAAUGUGAUGUUAUGUUAUAAAUGUAUGGACUUGUUUUAAAUACAAGCCAAAUUACUUUUUCCGUUUUAAUGUUACAAACAUUUCCCCUUCUUUUAUUACUGCACCUUCCAUGUAUAUAUAUAACCGCC